UCCUGGUUAACCCAGGCAGUCUCAUUAGAGUUCCCACCUUAAAUGUUGGCAACUAAUGAUAAGGGUUGCGCUCGUUGCGGGACUUAACCCAACACCUCACGGCACGAGCUGACGACAGCCAUGCAGCACCUGUGCAGCGGCCCCGAAGGGAGACGCUAUUUCUAGCGUUGUCCACUGCAUGUCAAGCCUGGGUAAGGUUCUUCGCGUUGCAUCGAAUUAAACCACAUGCUCCACUGCUUGUGCGGGUCCCCGUCAAUUCUUUUGAGUUUCACCCUUGCGAGUGUACUCCCCAGGCGGUAUACUUAUCGCGUUAGCUACGGCACAAUUGGGGUUGAGUCCAAUUACACCAAGUAUACAUCGUUUACGGCAAGGACUAC
rnacentral:misc_RNA from 1 species